rnacentral:lncRNA from 1 species
UAUUUUUGCCUUCCUUAUGCGUUUUUCAUCUAUAUAACUGAUUACCCUUUUUAGAGUAACCGAUUACCACUGUUUCUUCCAGAAUUUUUUAAAAUUUUUAACACCCGUGAGUUUUUUGUCAUAAAGAGUACUUUUGGUCUUCAAUGUUUUUUUUUCUUGUUUUUUUUUUGCUUAAGUCAAUCACUUCAGCAUUGGUACAUUGGCUUUUUA